UACGUAGGGUGCGAGCGUUGUCCGGAAUUAUUGGGCGUAAAGAGCUCGUAGGCGGUGUGUCGCGUCGGCCGUGAAAACCUGCAGCUUAACUGUGGGCGUGCGGUCGAUACGGGCAUCACUGGAGUUCGGCAGGGGAGACUGGAAUUCCUGGUGUAGCGGUGAAAUGCGCAGAUAUCAGGAGGAACACCGGUGGCGAAGGCGGGUCUCUGGGCCGAUACUGACGCUGAGGAGCGAAAGUGUGGGGAGCGAACAGG
rnacentral:rRNA from 1 species